AUGACAUAUAAAUCGACAUCAUGUAAAAACUUUCUUCACGCUGGUAACUUCACAGCGUUGUACACCCUUUAAAUGUUUGACCAUUAGGAGAAAGAAAACUGGGAGGAGCUUGAUAGGCGGGACACAUUCCAAAGAGUGACAACAAUCUGUCCAAUUAAAACCGCUAAAACAUGUUGCUUAAAUUUGGAUUGACCAAUCACGUUUUCAAUCGACCAGCUCCAUUCUAACUAAUGGAUUACAGUCGAGCCUAACAAACAGAUGUAACUGGUUUUCAUCAUUCUCUUCUCUUCUUCUCAGCCUCUCACAGAAAUCACUGCCAGAAACAUCGAGGCAUCAAACACAGUAUUUAUUUCGGAAACAUAUCAUACCCUUAGAUUCAACUAAAUAUGGCUGAUACCGCAGUAGACACUACCACAACUACCGAGAUUUCAGCAAAGGAGCUCAAAGAGAAGAAAGAGGUUGUCGAGGAGGUGGAGGAGAAGGAGAAUGGCAGCGGGGACGCACCAGCCAACGGCAAUGGAACACACACAAAUGGUGCAGAGACAAAGACAAAUGGUGCAGAUGAUUCUGAAGAAACCCCUGUGUGUGAGAAGGAAGAAGAGGAUGGAGAGGGACUGGAUGCAGCCAAGGAUGCAGAAGAAGUUGCUGGUGAGGAGGUUGACCACCCUGUGAAGUGCCCAGCUGAUGAGAGUGUUGACCACCCUGUGAAGCGCCCAGCUGAUGAGGUUGACCACCCGGUGAAGCUCCCAGCUGAUGAGGUUGACCACCCUGUGAAGCGCCCAGCUGAUGAGGAGGACCAAUUGGAAACGAAAAAACAGAAAACAGAAAACGGCGAAUCAAAGGAAGCUGAAGUGAAGGCAUAGUGCGCAGA
rnacentral:lncRNA from 1 species